GUUUACAUAUACAAGUCACCACCUCCUCCAUCACCUACUUAUGUUUACAAGUCACCACCACCACCAGUGAAGUCACCUCCCUAUUACUAUCAAUCUCCACCUCCACCAUCACCAAAACCUCAGCCUCCUUAUUAUUAUCACUCUCCACCUCCUCCAACACCAGUUGUUAAGCCACCAUACUACUACCAAUCUCCACCUCCUCCAUCUCCAAAACCUAAGCCUCCAUACUACUACCAAUCUCCUCCUCCUCCAUCACCAAAACCUAAACCUCCUUACUACUACCAAUCUCCACCUCCUCCAUCACCAAAACCUCAGCCUCCAUACUACUAUCAAUCUCCACCUCCUCCAACACCAGUUGUGAAGCCACCAUACUACUACCAAUCUCCACCUCCUCCAUCACCAAAACCUCAGCCUCCUUACUAUUACCAAUCUCCACCUCCUCCAACACCAGUUGUUAAGCCACCAUACUACUAUAAAUCUCCACCUCCCCCAUCACCCUCUCCUCCACCACCAUACUACUACAAAUCUCCACCACCACCAUCCCCAUCACCGCCACCUCCAUACUACUAUAAAUCUCCACCUCCACCAUCACCGGUUGUUAAGCCACCAUACUACUAUAAAUCCCCACCUCCCCCAUCACCCUCUCCUCCCCCUCCAUACUACUAUAAAUCUCCACCUCCAUACUACUACCACUCUCCACCUCCACCAUCACCAGUUGUUAAGCCACCAUACUACUACAAAUCUCCACCUCCACCAUCACCCUCACCUCCCCCUCCAUACUACUAUAAAUCUCCACCCCCACCUUCACCAUCCCCUCCUCCUCCAUACUAUUAUAAAUCACCACCACCACCAUCCCCAUCACCGCCACCUCCAUACUAUUACAAAUCCCCUCCACCUCCAUCCCCAUCUCCAC
rnacentral:lncRNA from 1 species